AGCAGCAUGGCGCAGUUGGAAGCGCGCGGGGCCCAUAAUCUCCUGAAGACGUCAACCACGAGGUCACUUGAUCGAAACAAGUUGCUGCCA